AACGAACGCUGGCGGCGUGCCUAACACAUGCAAGUCGUGCGAGAAAGUUCCUUCGGGAGCGAGUAAAGCGGCGCACGGGUGAGUAACACGUAGGUAACCUGCCCCCCAGUCUGGAACAACUAGAGGAAACUCUAGCUAAUGCCGGAUGAGACCACGAUCCCUUCGGGGGUUGCGGCCAAAGAUGGCCUCUACUUGUAAGCUAUCGCUGAGGGAUGGGCCUGCGGGCCAUUAGCUUGUUGGUGAGGUAACGGCUCACCAAGGCUGUGAUGGCUAGCUGGUCUGAGAGGAUGACCAGCCACACUGGGACUGAGACACGGCCCAGACUCCUACGGGAGGCAGCAGUGGGGAAUAUUGCGCAGUGGGCGAAGCCUGACGCAGCGACGCCGCGUGGGUGAUGAAGGCCUUCGGGUCGGUAA
rnacentral:rRNA from 1 species